GCAUAUCAAUAAGCGGAGGAAAAGAAACUAACAAGGAUUUCCCCUAGUAACUGCGAGUGAAGAGGGAAAAAGCUCAAAUUUUGAAUCUGGCGGUCUUUAGGUCGUCCGAGUUGUAAUCUAGAGAAGCGUCUUCCGCGCUGGACCGUGUAUAAGUUUCCUGGAAUGGAACGUCGUAGAGGGUGAGAAUCCCGUCUUUGACACGGACUACCAGGGCUAUGUGAUGCGCUCUCGACGAGUCGAGUUGUUUGGGAAUGCAGCUCAAAUAGGGUGGUAAAUUCCAUCUAAAGCUAAAUAUAGGCGAGAGACCGAUAGCGAACAAGUACCGUGAGGGAAAGAUGAAAAGAACUUUGGAAAGAGAGUUAAACAGUACGUGAAAUUGCUGAAAGGGAAACGCUUGAUGUCAGUCGCGUCGGCCGGGGAUCAGCCUUGCUUAAUCGCUCGGCGUACUUCCUGGUAGACGGGUCAGCAUCAGUUUUGACCGUCGGAAAAUGGCUUGGGGAAUGUGGCACUCUUUCGGGAGUGUGUUAUAGACUCGAGUCGAAUACGAUGGUUGGGACUGAGGAACUCAGCACGACCUUAGGGUUCGGGACUUUGGUCCACGUUUGCGUGCUUAGGAUGCUGGCAUAAUGGCAUUAAGCGACCCGUCUUGAAACACGGACCAAGGAGUCUAACAUGCAUGCGAGUGUUUGGGCGAUGAAAACCCGAGCGCGUAAUGAAAGUGAAAGUCGAGAUCUCUGUCGUGGAGUGCACCGACGCCCGGACCGGAGCUUUUGCUAUGGAUCUGCGGUAGAGCAUGUAUGUUGGGACCCGAAAGAUGGUGAAACUAUGCCUGAAUAGGGUGAAGCCAGAGGAAACUCUGGUGGAGGCUCGUAGCGAUUCUGACGUGCAAAUCGAUCGUCGAAUUUGGGUAUAGGGGGCGAAAGACUAAUCGAACCAUCUAGUAGCUGGGUUCCUGCG
rnacentral:rRNA from 1 species